rnacentral:rRNA from 1 species
AGCGAACGCUGGCGGCAGGCCUAACACAUGCAAGUCGAACGAACUCUUCGGAGUUAGUGGCGGACGGGUGAGUAACACGUGGGAACGUGCCUUUAGGUUCGGAAUAACUCAGGGAAACUUGUGCUAAUACCGAAUGUGCCCUUCGGGGGAAAGAUUGAUCGCCUUUAGAGCGGCCCGCGUCUGAUUAGCUAGUUGGUGAGGUCAAGGCUCACCAAGGCGACGAUCAGUAGCUGGUCUGAGAGGAGGAUCAGCCACAUUGGGACUGAGACACGGCCCAAACUCCUACGGGAGGCAGCAGUGGGGAAUCUUGCGCAAUGGGCGACAGCCUGACGCAGCCAUGCCGCGUGAAUGAUGAAGGUCUUAGGAUUGUAAAAUUCUUUCACCGGGGACGAUAAUGACGGUACCCGGAGAAGAAGCCCCGGCUAACUUCGUG